GAAAUUUUACUUCAUAAUCACGUAGUCAUAGUGGAUGUGGAGUGGGGAAAGGGAAGUGAGGAAGUGAGAAUAUUAUAUGACAGAUUAUUUGAUAACAUGUCACCUUUAGUGAGUGUUAGUGUGUGUAAUAGUGAGUGUGGUUGAAGGAGCAGUGAUACGUGGCGCUGGGGAGGGAGAGCGGGUGGCUGGCUGGCUGGCUACAUUGUUUUGGUCAACACUGGUCAGUCUUGCCCCACACGCUGUUUUAACCAGUGUUUCUGGAUUCCCGGCAGCUUUUCCCUGUACCGAGCACCGCCAAGCAGCACCAGAGAGGCAGGAAUACGUAAGCAUGAUGAGAUGGAGGUUUUAACUCCACCACCACCACCACCACUACUGUGACUUACACCAGCACCGUAGCCACUAUCACCUCUUCAACAGCACUUGAACCAUCUCCGCCACCAGCACCACAGCCACUUCCUCUACCACCACCACCACCACCACCACCACCA